UACGUAGGGGGCAAGCGUUGUCCGGAAUCAUUGGGCGUAAAGAGCGUGUAGGCGGCCAGAUAAGUCCACUGUGAAAACUCGAGGCUCAACCUCGAGAGGUCGGUGGAAACCGUCUGGCUAGAGUCCGGAACGGGAGAGUGGAAUUCCCGGUGUAGCGGUGAAAUGCGCAGAUAUCGGGAAGAACACCCGUGGCGAAGGCGGCUCUCUGGGACGGUACUGACGCUGAGACGCGAAAGCGUGGGGAGCGAACAGG
rnacentral:rRNA from 1 species